CUACGGGAGGCACCAGUGGGGAAUAUUGCACAAUGGACGAAAGUCUGAUGCAGCAACGCCGCGUGGAGGAUGACACAUUUCGGUUCGUAAACUCCUUUUAUAUAGGAAGAUAAUGACGGUACUAUAUGAAUAAGCGCCGGCUAACUCCGUGCCAGCAGCCGCGGUAAUACGGAGGGCGCAAGCGUUACUCGGAAUCACUGGGCGUAAAGAGCGUGUAGGCGGAUAGAUAAGUCAGGAGUGAAAUCCUAUGGCUCAACCAUAGAACUGCUCUUGAAACUGUCUAUCUAGAAUAUGGGAGAGGUAGAUGGAAUUUCUGGUGUAGGGGUAAAAUCCGUAGAGAUCAGAAGGAAUACCGAUUGCGAAGGCGAUCUACUGGAACAUUAUUGACGCUGAGACGCGAAAGCGUGGGGAGCAAACAGGAUUAGAUACCCCUGUAGUC
rnacentral:rRNA from 1 species